AUCCACAUAUGGGUGAAAUAAUAGUCACCCUAAGAACAAUGUGUGUGUGUUGGCUUGUGCUACAAGGACGGAGAUGGUUCUCUAAGGUUAUUUAUGGAGAACAUGAUGCUAAAAACUGUGCAGCACAAUUACACAGUAGACCAUAAACAGUGGCAUGAACCCUGCUAUCAGGGCCCCUGAGGGACUUUGUUUCCUUGUCAUCCCUGUGUAGUUCCCACAUGUUUUCUCUGCGCUCACACGCCUCCUCCUGGAGCUGUGUUUUGUCACUUUGUUGAUUAAUUGUAGGAGUUCAGACUCGAACAUGUGAGUGGGCACAUGUGUGCAGUUAAAAAUGAACAAACCGAGCAUCGUGUGCAUCGAUAACUUCCUACAACAACAUGACUGUUUGUUCCCGUCGCCCUGAAGGUUUUUUGGAUGUAUUCAUUCAGGCUUUUGUGUUAUUAGUGUUCAGGCUCUGCUUCCACCUCUUACCGAGUUAUUUCUCUGCACUAACAGGCCCCGUGCAGUCCCAGAUGGUCCCAACAGUUCCAUCUGACAAGUGCUUUGACUCACUCAACCACCUUUUUGGACUCUCUGCUCCUGUUAAGUUGUGAUUGUUGGAUCCGUCCCCCUGCGCGCCGUGGAGGCAUCAUUACACCGUCCGUCUGCUAUUGAUCUCAGACAUCAAGUCCUCCGUGUAUUCAGAUACGGCGAGCUGGACCCUGAUGAGACUGAUCCCACAUCACAGGGAGGAAAUAUAAACCUGUAACCACAUCAGGCUCCACUAACGUCUGCUGCUGCUGCUGCUGCUGCUGCUGCUGCUGCUGCUGCUGCUUUACACGUCGAUAUCUCCCUGGCUGAGCUGUGUUUCCAGCUGCAGGAGCUGAUGAGCGGGAGCAUUAGCUGUUUACUUUCUGGAGUGGAAACUGCACACAUGACAAUUGGAAAAACUUACAGCCAAAGACUUUUUACAGCCCAAUUUUCUCUCCGCCAAGGCCUCCCUCGACAGAUUUAAACGCUCCCCAAGACAGAAUCAAAGACGCCAAAAACGUGUCAGCAAGAGUUCGACCGUCAGCCUCGUCUGCGUCUCACGGCAGCGCCAACUGUUGUUUUGUUUUCUCCGACUCAGAUGCAUUUUGGAUGACUCCAGCAUGUAUAUUUUAGCGAGCACUCCUGUAAAUCAAGACAAGGGUGAGAGGGAAGAAACAGAAGGAGCGUUUGACAGACGUGUUUUCAAAUUCACUUGGCUUUUAUUCACAUUUCAUAUCUGUUGACAUCUCCACCGUCUGUCCGCACAUUCUGCUACGUCUCUGAACGGCCCUUCUUCUGCCCCACCCCAACUGAAGAUACAGGAGGUGACCAUCACAAAAUAAUAAUAAUAACAAUAAUAAUAAUAAUAUUAAUAAAAGCAGCAUUGAAGAAAACAACUUUUCAUGUCUCUCGUCCUUUCUGUCGCCAGCAUCUUUGCAUUUAAUUUACCUGAAUGUAACCAUCAAUGACCAGUUUAAAAAAACAUAGAACUAGCUUGUGAUAAAUAAUCAUCAUCAUCAUCAUCAUCAUCAUCAUCAUCAUCAUCAUCGUCAUCCUACCAUCAUCACAAUCAGGCUCCACACUCACAGUAAUAUUAAUAAUAAUAAUAAUAAUAAUAAUAAUAAUAAUAAUAAUAAUGAAGGAUACAAACUCAGAAGUAAAAAAAAAAAAAGUGACUCAAGCUUUUUUAGGAAAGGAAACAUGAUUGGUCUUCUACAGUGUGUGUGUGUGUGUGUGUGUGUGUGGGUCAUUCUGAGGCAGAAACACGUUACUGUCCUGUCAGUAAUGUUCCUCCACCCGCUCUAACCUCUUUUUUUUUUUUUAAGAUCCAGCGAGACUAGAUCUGGUCCUGUUUGUUUGUUUGUUUGUUUGUUUGUUUGUUUGUCUGUGGUCAUUAAGACAGUUGUGCGGAGAGCAGACAGAUACUGUCUGGUACCAGUGAGCUACAGCAGGGUGCUACAACAGCAGGUGAGGCUCCUCUUACAGCCCAACAGCACGUCAGCACUAGUGACGCCGCGACGGGCCGCGACCUCCAGCUCUGACCGACGCGGUCGCGCACUCCAACGGCUUCAUGUCGAGAACUCUGAACUCUGGUUGAGUGUCCCGUACGGUCUUAAACUUAAAGGAAAAGUCCACCCAAAAAUGUCUCAUCUCCAUGAGGGUGAAGUUUUACAUCGCACAAAACAUUUCUGGAGCUUCACAGUAAAACAGCGCUGACGCAGAGUUUGACUGCGUGUUGAAGGCGUCGGUAACAUUUCAAAUCAUUCUUGGAUCUCUGGACGACCUGCAUUUUUUUUAAACAAGUCCUCAUCUUCUUCAGUUUUUUUUCCCCAAGAAAGCUGCAACACCGUUUUCCCCUGAAGCUCCAGAAAUGUUUUGCCGACCACGAAACUUCACCUGACUUUGCGUCGACACGAGGGUGAGUGGAUGAUGACUUAAUUUUCUUUUAUUUUGGGUGAACUAAUCCUUUAACGCUCCUUUACAAGCGAGCAGUUUCCUCUGGUUUUGAAUCUUGAACAAAGCCCCUUUCAGACACGCGGUUAUGUAAAAAAUCACGUCGGUAAGCCUGAAAAAUUGGACCUAGUAACAUUUGCACAACUCUUCCCACACAGCACGAGUCUUUCUUCAGUAUCCUCACAGUAACAGUGAGAUGAAAUGCUCGUCUUGUUCCCUUAUUAAAGAACCUGAAAACAUUUUUCUUAAUCAGCUUUCCGUGAUCAAUGACGUCCUUAAAAACAAGAUCAGAUUUCACACGACUGGUGAGCUGUUUCAGUAAAAAUCAAUCACAUCUAAUGAAACCACAGUGGAAAAGUCCCGAGGAAGCAGAUCAGCCGAGUGUUUAGAUCGGUGCUUAUUAAGUUCUGUAGAUUUAACGAGCAAUUAGGUGACUUUGUAGGAGCAUAAAGAGCGCUGUAACAAAUUUACUACUUAAUUAUUGUUUCAUGCGCACAAAGGAAAUAUAAUCUGUUUAAUAGUCGUUUUCGGUUGUUGAGGAGAUUGUUCUCACGUCAGAUCAGAUGAUUUUUUUUUUUUUAAGGAGAGGAAGAGAAAGAGGUAGGAAAAAGCCUGAAACCUCUUUUUUUCUUGAAGUAAUAAAUAAACUGCAUAUUAAAAAAAAAAAGCUUCAAGACAAGACAAGAGAGCCAAAAUAACACUUUCUUAUUCUCUUAAAUAAAAUAAAUGAUAAAAAUGAAGGAGUGGGAACUUCCCUGCUGACAAUCGUCAUAAAUUAAGACUUCAGAUUAAUCACUCAUCCAUUUGUUUUUCCCUCUCUGUCCUUCAUCUCCUACUUUCCUCUCAUGCACCAGCUGAAGAAUCACUGUGAACGUCGCCUCAACGAAUCCAUCAGUUUUUGUCUGAUGGACGUGACGUGUUUGUCUGAAAGGGCUCGUCACCUGUCGUCACCUGUCGUCACGUGUCGUCACGUGUCAUCACGAAGCCGGGAGAAAAAAAAAAAAAAAAGCUGGACACGCUUCAUUUCUUUUGCCUGCACGACCUGCAGCCAUGUUUCGAUUCUACUCUGUGUGCGAGGUUGAGCUUUCGGUCGGGCCCCGAGUCAAUCAGAUAA